AAUUUUUAUGUUAUAAUAAAAAAAGAAAGUAUAAAUUAAUUGUGAUCUCAAUCUAAAUAUCAAGACCCAAUUUUUUUGAUUUUGAAAGAAGAAAACUAAAAAUUUGUGAUUAAGAGAAACACUUAUUAUGAAAAUUUUAAAUUUUGAAAGUUUUUUUUGAGAUUUCUUGUUAAAUAUCACGGAUAACAUAAUAGAAUAUAGGGAAAAUAUUAAAAAUAAUAAACUGUCACACCCUUUUUUAUCGACCAAACUUCUACUUAAUCCUCUUAAAUAAAUAAACAGAUUUAUACUGCUUGAAAAAGGGUUUUCAAUUUUUGAAAGUGACAAAGAUUGUAUUCAAAAGGAAAACUCAGAGUCGCCGCCUGGCAUUUAAUUCGGUGUGCCAAGCCACAGUUUUUAAAAAAAAAAUCCUUUUAAAACACUUGACUCAAAGCUAAGUUUGCACCUGAAGUUUGGGUAAGGAGAUUCAUUAGACUUGGGAGAAGGUGUUAGGCACUCCCCAAAUCCCAUGAAGGUCACAGUUGCGUACUCGAUAUAAUUGGCUUUUAGAAUAUUCGAAUUAAGAUAAAACACACAAAAGAAGAUAAACACAAAGAGGUUCGAGGUUGUCCAUGCCUAAGAUAAAAAAAAUAAGAAUAAAAUAAAAUACUACACAAACUCGUCACGGCCUCCAGAAUAUUUACAAAGUACUUCGGGGCAACUUGUGCCACAGAAGCAGUUGUGCUCUGCCUCUUCCCCUCUAGCAGAAGAUUGCCUUGUGUGGAAGGUUGACUCUGAACUUCAGUCAAUGGGAGGAAUCUCUCCGGAGAAAAUAAUCAACUAAAGGGAUAACCUUUCGCCUCGGCAAAACUAAAAUAUAAACGCCCUAAAGUUUUGCCUAUCCAAGUGUGAUCGGCCUAAAACAUUCUUCUAGCGGACAAUAUAACAAAAGCAAAACAAAUAAAAUUAAAGAUUAAUUCCAUGCUCAUUUUCUUUUAACUUCUUAUUUCAUGCAUUUGACCAAAUCCAAUCCUAAAAUGUGUCGGGCGAUUAAUUACUAAUAGGCUUUGGUUGUUCCCCAUUCCCGCGACUCUUAAUGAUAAGCAUAUCAAACCAAACAAACAACUAAUAAGCUGAUAAACAAUUGUUCAAGGACAAAUAAAUUACUGAUACAUCAUGGUCACAGCUAAACUUAAGGCAACUCUCAACAUGUUGACAUCAUAAUAAUACUCAAUCGCAUCUAAAAGGAUUAAAUACUCGCAACUUAACAUAUAGAGAACUGCAGAAGGCCCAAAUAAGCAAACUAAUUUUCAAGCAAACUUCAACAGCUUCAAACUUGGCACGUUUCUCUUUUCUUUUCCUUUGUUAAAAUAUUAAACUCAAUACAUAGUCUCAAACACUCAAUAGGAAUCCAACCAAAAGAAACUAAGUAGUCAAAUUUUUUAAGAAAGAAAGUGAAUAAAAUCCUAUAGUAAGGUUACUGAAUUCCAGAAGUAGCACUAUGAUAUUGAAAAUUAAUUAUAGCUAACCAACCCUUUUUAUAUCACUUUAAUCCUCUAAAGCUUUAUUUAUUAGAAAAUUAGUCAUGGCUUAAACCAAAAGGAAUUUCAGGAAAAUAAUUCAAUCUCAAAAAUAUCAAAAGAUGUGACUAAAAGUAGGAUUAUGAGCCUCAUUUUACCUAUUUAUUCUGUAAACCAUAGCCAAAUAAUGCACGAAGUAAAGGGGAUAUCUACAACUAAACUAAACUCAUCACCACUGUUUAAGUUUUCAAAAGCGACUCACAAACUCAAACCUCUACCAUCAAAAUCCAAAUAGAACUAAGCUCAGGCUACAAGGAACGAGUCCAAAGAGAGUUUGCAUUGAAACGGUGAUUAUUUGAACACUAAUAACUUUUCCUUGUCGAAGGAAUUAUUCAAAAAACAGAACUUAUUUACCAACAAUGAGACAUAUAUCACUGGUUCAUGCCUAGUUUAACGAUCACAAAGUCGAGCAAAUCUUUCGUUUUCAAACCAAGAGAAUCAAAGCUCAAAUAAUGUUUCAAACACAUAAUAAUAGCUGAGCGCAUACGAAGCAUAGAAAGUAAUUAAUCCAAUUAGUUCCUAUGAACUUUGGCUAAGCCACAUUCUGUUAAUACUCAAUUAAGAACCAAAUUAAGUUAGGUGUCCGCGAAUACCAAUUAAUUAAGGCUCAAAUCAUGUGUAAAUCCAACCUAAAAUCAGAAAAUAGGAGGAGAAUGAACGAACCUUUAAUUAAAAUUCCAGCAAUUACAGAGAUGUUGAUAAGCCACAAUUAUGCUAGAACUCAAACGGAACCGUCGUGUCGCACUUCGAUAAUGCAGUAGCUAGAUCGAACAUGAACCACGGACUCGACUUUGAACGACAACUCCAAGCGAACUCCGGGGACAAAUUUGAACCACCCUCAAACUUCGAUCAAAUUUUCAGUCGUAAUGUUUCUGAUUUUUGAAGCAGAAUUCAAACUAGAAGAAUUUAAUUUUUUUUUUGUUCUUUUAUAUUGGAAAAUGAAAAAAACAGAAUCAAAGACUACUCAAAGAAGAACUCUAAUUUUCGAAUGGAUUGAGAUUAGAAGAACCACCAAAAAUCCGGAAAAUCCUAGUUCUUUCUCACUUUUUUCCUCUUCAAUUUUCCGUCCAGACCCUCGAAUAUAUAGCCAACCUAGAAGCUUAUAUCCUUGUCUUCCAAGAAAACCGAAAAUCCACAUAAUUCUCAGAAAAUUAAAACAAAAAAUCGGAUAAUCUCUUCUCUUGGCGAGAUAAGAGAAAUGGCAGGAGUAGAUCAAGUGUAACUCAAUACUACGCACCCCAUUUUUCCUAUUUUCGCCUAAAAGAGUAAUCCAAAAAAAAUAAAAAUAGGGAGAAAACGCGUAGUAUCAAACCCUAAUGAUGAGGGGGGAUCAUGAAGGAACCAUGUGAGUUAACUUGGCCGAUUUGCUGAGUUCGUUGGAGGAGAAAGGGACGCGGGCAGAGGGUUAGGAGGAGAGGGAAGGUGUGGGGCGGCUAGACUUUAGGUUUAGGGUUUGGGGAAGAUUAAGGUUUUAUAUGAUGGUGAUGAUAUAUGUAGACCAUUGGAUUAAAUCCAAUCAAAGGCUAGGAUUUACACUAGAGGAUGGGGCGGGUCAUGGGUUGAUCCGACGUGUCAAAGGGUUGGGUUGAGGAAGGGAUUGGGCUGCCCGAUUUUGGCUUCUACUUAUGUAAAAAUUAGGCCAAAUUUUGCACUUCUUCAAUUUUUAAAAGUCAAUAAAAUAACCAAUCCCAUCUUUUAAAUUAAAACUAAACUAAAUUCAAUUAAUUAAAUAAACUAUGUGAAUAUAUGAAACUAUAUAUUUUUUUUAAUUUAUUAUGUUUUUAUAUAAAUUAAAAAUAAGAGUAAAAAUAAUAGUAAAACAAGAUACAUUGCUAUAAAAAUCUUAAUAACCAAAACUAGAUAGAAAUAAGGUAAAGCAUGAAACUAUAUAGAUAUUUAUAUUUUAGUUUUUGUGCUUAAAAAAAUAGAAUUAAAAUUAGUAAUAAAGUAAAUCUUAUAGAAAUAAACCCAAAUAAAUAUCCCAAAAAAUAAGUAAAUAUUUUUUUAAAAUGCUAUUUUUAAAAGUUGCGCGGAUCGAAAAAUUGCAUGCUUACAGCUGCCCCUCUGUGCUUGGAAACACGAAGAGUUUUCGAAGCAAAGAACAAUAAGCAAUGUAAUUGCCCGACGCUUAAUCCUCUAAAGCUUUAUUUAUUAGAAAAUUAGUCAUGGCUUAAACCAAAAGAAAUUUCAGGACAAUAAUUCAUUCUCAAAAAUAUCAAAAGAUGUGACUAAAAGUAGGAUUAUGAGCCUCAUUUUACCUAUUUAUUCUGUAAACCAUACCAAAAUAAUGCACGAAGUAAGGGAGAUAUCUAUAACUAAACUAAACUCAUCACCACUGUUUAAGUUUUCAUAAACGACUCACAAACUCAAACAUCUAGCAUUAAAAUUCAAAUAGAACUAAGCUCAAGCUACAAGGAACGAAUCGAAAGAGAGUUUGCAUUGAAACAUUGAUUAUUUGCGCACUAAUGACUUUUCCUUGUCGAAGGAAUUUAUCAAAAAAACAGAACUUAUUUUACCAACAAUGUAACAUAUAUCACUGGUUCAUGCCUAGUUUAACGAUCACAAAGUCGAGCAAAUCUUUCAUUUUCAAACCAAGAGAAUCAAAGCUCAAAUAAUGUUUUAAACACAUAAUAAUAGCUGAGAGCAUAUGAAGCAUAGAAAGUAUUCAAUCCAAUUAGUUCCUAUGAACUUUGGCUAAGCCACAUUAUGUUAAUACUCAAUUAAGAACCAAAUAAGUUAGGUGUUCGCGAAUACCAAUUAAUUAAGGCUCAAAUCAUGUGUAAAUCCAAUCCAAAAUCAGAAAAUAGGAGGAGAAUGAACGAACCUUUAAUUAAAAUUCCAGCAAUUACAGAGAUGUUGAUAAGCCACAAAUAUGCUAGAAACUCAAACGGAACCGGCGUGUCGCACUUCAAAAAUGCAGCAACACGGACUCGACUUCGAACGACAAAUUCGAGCCACCCUCGAACUUCGAUCAAAUUUUCUGUCGUAAUGUUUCCGAUUUUUGAAGCAGAAUUCAAAGUAGAAGAAUUUAAUUUUUUUUUGUUCUUUUAUAUAGGAAAAUGAAAAAACAGAAUCAAGAAGAACUUUAAUUUUCGAAUGGAUUGAAAUUAGAAUAACCACCAAAAAUCCGAAAAACCCUAGUUCUUUCUCACUCUCUUCCUCUUCAAUUUUACAUCCAGACCCUCCAAUAUAAAGCCAACCUAGAAGCUUCUAUCCUUGUCUUCCAAGAAAACCGAAAUCCACCAAAUUCUCAGAGAAUUAAAACCUAAAAUCGGAUAAUCUCUUCUCUUGGCAAGAUAAGAGAAAUAGAGGGAGUAGAUCAAGUGUAACUCAAUCCUACGCACCCCAUUUUUUCUAUUUUCGCCUAAAAGAGUAAUCCAAAAAAUGAAAAUAGGGAGAAAACACGUAAAAUCAAUCCCUAAUGAUGAGGGGGGACCAUGAGGGGACCAUGUGAGUUAACUCGGCCGAUUUUAUGGGUUUUCUGGCGAGUUGGAGGGGCAUCGGACGCGCGCAGAGGGUUUGCAGGAGAGGGAAGGAGUGGGGCGGCUAGACUUUAGGUUUAGGGUUUGGGGA
rnacentral:lncRNA from 1 species